CUGCAAGGAAGCAUCUGCUCACUAUUUUUUGCUGUUGCCAUUUUCUUUUCUGAAUGCUUCAGUUCAAAACAUCAUCCUACCACCAUUUUUCGUUGUUAAAUCUCCCUGUCCUUGUAGCUACAUAUCUAUGCACCGGAGAAACAUCUCAUUAACAAACUGGUCCUGUGCGUCCUUAACACUGAGGCCCCUCGCCUGCAGCUGGAGGCAGCUCUCUGCUAAGCCUGCAGUGCAGAGUGACACAGGCAGGCGACAGAGGCAGUGAGCACUAACUUCUAUUACAUCCAGCAGACUGUGAGAACCAUUACGGAUCCGCGGCAAGACCCAAGAAAAGCAAAGGUGUAGCUGCAAAGUUUUGGACAAGACCUCUGCAGGCAACUGAAAGCACAGUGUACCAGGUGGUGGGUCUCUUCUGGGGCAAUAUAUUUUCCUGUCUGACCGAUUGAAUAUGGCUGUAAAGGGAAUAAAACCUCAUGUAAUCUCCA